rnacentral:lncRNA from 1 species
CCUAUUGUUGCAUACAAUAACCAUUUAGACAUAUAUGUCGGAUGUUGAUACAAUCCUAACCACCUCACCACAAAAUGGAACCAUUCUGUAAGUUUCGAUGAAAUUGACUCAGUAGUUUGCCAACCUUGGACUGCCAUCUCUCCAAUGGAAAGAAACAAUAUAUUUUUUAGGAUUGUUUCAUCAAUUCCGAUAAUGCGCCCUUGUAUGACACUCGAUCCAUCUUCGAGAUUGUAAUUUAUCAUGUAUUCAUCUACUAAUGUCACAUUGAUUGAUGGUAAGCAAUCUCGCUGGUGUAAAAACUGGAAUAACUAUGCAUUUCAAAAGUCUCUUAUUCUUUUUGGCAUUCAAUAGAUAUCUAACUUCAUUAGCUCCAUAUUGCUAACGAUUAUCAUAAAAAAUGAUUUUGAUGUACGUUUAGCUCUCACAUUUUGGCCACUAUCUUCUUUAUCUAUAGCUCGCUUUGCACUUUCAAUCACCAUGAUGCUCUCUCUCUCAAGCUCUUAACUGAAACUGUUACUCUUGAAUAUGCAAAGAACACAAGAAAUGACAAUUUCAAAAAACCAACCCAAAACGACACCAUAGAAUGACCUCUAACUAAUAUCCCAUUCCUAUUCUCUUACUACCUGGUGAUAAUGACAACAUGUUAUCCAUACUACCAUUUUUCACCUCCGUCCUAUCUAACAUAUUAAUAAUUACUAACUAUCCUUUCAGCCGCCUCUACACUCUAAUGUACUUAUACUAUAAUUAAGUCUAUCUUGAGUCCAUUU